GGUCAAGCGGGUGAAGGCAUACGGUGGAUGCCUUGGCAUCAAGGGCCGAAGAAGGGCGUAGUGCGGCUACGAUAAGCCUCGGUGAGCUGCCAAGCAAGCCUAACCGAGGAUUCCCGAAUGGGGCAACCCGCUCAGGUAAAACCUGGGCACCCCCAGUUGAACACAUAGGCUGGGAGGAGGUAAGCAGGGGAAGUGAAACAUCUCAGUACCCUGAGGAAAAGAUAUUAUUCCCUGAGUAGUGGCGAACGAAAGGGGAUCAGCCCAAACCUUACAGGCUUAGUGGUUUCAGGACCUAUGCCUGUAGGGUGUUGUAAGGCAAGUAGGACCGAACCUGGAAUAGGUCAAGGAGUUACAAACCGAACUCUAGUUGAAGGUUUCUGGGAAGGGCAGCCAUAGAGGGUGACAGCCCCGUAAGCGAAAGAGGGAGGCUCCUUACUUGUACUUGAGUACCACGGGACACGAGAAAUCUUGUGGGAAACCGCCCUGACCACAGGGCAAGGCUAAAUACCCUUGAUGACCGAUAGUGAACUAGUACCGUGAGGGAAAGGUGAAAAGUACCCCGGGAGGGGAGUGAAAUAGACCUGAAACCGUAUGCUGUCAAGCAGUCAGAGCCUUGAUUUAUCGGGGUGAUGGCGUGCCUAUUGGAGAAUGAGCCGGCGAGUUAAUCUACGUGGCUGGUUAAGCGAUUUACAUCGCGAAGCCGAAGCGAAAGCGAGUCUGAAUAGGGCGUUAAUGUCGCGUGGAUUAGACCCGAAGCCGGGUGAGCUAUCCAUGGCCAGGGUGAAGCUCCGAUAAACUCGGAGUGGAGGCCCGAACCGGUCAACGUUGCAAAGUUGUCGGAUGAGCUGUGGAUAGAGGUGAAAUGCCAAACGAACCCGGGGAUAGCUGGUUCUCCCCGAAAUGCAUUGAGGUGCAGCCUCAGAUGAUCGCUAAUGGAGGUAGGGCUCUGGAUGGACUAGGGGGAUAGAAUCUUACCAACUCCAACCAAACCGCAAAUGCCAUUAGCCAAAAUCUGGGAGUGAGACUGCGGGGGAUAAGCUCCGUAGUCAAGAGGGAAACAGCCCAGACCAUCAGCUAAGGUCCCCAAGAGCAGACUAAGUGGCAAAGGAAGUAGGAUUGCCCAGACAGCCAGGAGGUUGGCUUAGAAGCAGCCAUCCUUCAAAGAGUGCGUAAUAGCUCACUGGUUGAGUGGUGCUGCGCCGAAAAUUCAGCGGGGCUUAAGUCUGCCACCGAAGCUAUGGCUUCCUCGAUUUUAUCGGGGGAGGGUAGGGGAGCAUUCUCUUCGCCAAGAAGCUGUUAUGUGAGUAAUGGUGGAGCGGAGAGAAGAGAGAAUGCCGGCAUGAGUAGCGCAAGGUGUGUGAGAAACACACCCACCGAAUACCUAAGGUUUCCUACGGAAGGUUAAUCCGCGUAGGGUUAGUCGGGCCUAAGCCGAGGCCGGAAGGCGUAGGCGAUGGACAACGGGUUAUUAUUCCCGUACCGCUUUUGCAGAGGUAAAGGAGGGACACAGGAGGGUAGGUUGAGCGUGCCUAAUGGACAUGGUGCGUUUCCUACUGUAGGUGAUGCUGGGGCAGGUAAAUCCACCCCAGAUAUUUUAGCUGAAGGUAGGGAGAAGUUGAGGGGAAACCCAAGGCGACUCAACCGACCCCAGGCCGUCAAGAAAAGCCUCGUUGCCGGUGAUGUAAGGGCGCCCGUACCGCAAACCGACUCUGGUAGGUAGGGAUAAAAGUCCCAAGGUGAUCGAGAUAACCCUCGUUAAGGAACUCGGCAAUCUAGCCCCGUAACUUAGGGAGAAGGGGAGCCCUCUUAGGAGGGUGGCACAUAAUUGGCCCAGGCGACUGUUUAACAAAAACAUAGGUCUCUGCGAAGGCGUAAGCCGAAGUAUAGGGGCUGAUACCUGCCCAGUGCUGGAAGGUUAAGGGGAGGUGUUAAUCCUUC
rnacentral:rRNA from 1 species